rnacentral:ncRNA from 1 species
AAAAAAGCUUAGAUCAAGACAGUAGCAUUUAAAAAUUGUUCAGGAAUAAAAUCAUUGGCUGUGAGAUUUUACGUUUUUACUUGUGAAAGUAACUUGUGAGCUGAUAUGCUGAAAUUAUUAGGUGUAUCCGGAAAUAAUCAUCCGUUACUUGAUACAUGAGUGAAAAUGUUUUUAUGAACAUUUUAAUUUAGGUGGUACCGCGAAGUGUUUCGUCCUAUUU